rnacentral:lncRNA from 1 species
UCCUUCCCUUCUCAUGCCUUUUGUUUCUGCAGACAUGAGCAGAGCUCCCAGGCAAUGAUUUUGGGGCUGACGGUGCAGUGCUGCCUUGGUACCACCCAUGCUGAGAUGCCCAAGCUCUUGUUGGCUGUGCCAUCCGAGUGAUGCCAAUGAGCUCUCAUAUCUCAUGGAAGAUGUUACACUUAAUAAAACCGCAGCAUGGGAGAGCGUGAAAGCUGGCUGUGCCGUGCAGCCGAGGCCCCAGGGAGCCCGAGGAGGAAGGGGGGAGCCGAGGUGGGACCGUGGGGACGGCAGAGCACUGAUGGGCCCCGGAGGCACCAGCAACGCUGCUGUUUGCCGUGCUAUUUCGGGAAGUUCUCGUAAGGCUCUCUCCCAGACUGCAAGUUCACGGGGAGGAGGUGACCUUCAGCGUUUCUUGUUUUGCCCUGGAUCUGGCAUGCCGGGGGCCUGCCUGUUUGACUGGAGCGCCUGGGUACUGUAAUCAAAAUAAAUCAUCCUUAUCGUCGCGGGCGGCGAUGCCG